AUUGAACGCUAGCGGGAUGCUUUAAACAUGCAAGUCGAACGAGUGGAGGACGGGUGAGUAAUGUAUGGGGAUCUGCCCGAUAGAGGGGGAUAACUACGGGAAACGGUAGCUAAUACAGCAUACUAUAGGUUGAACCCAUAUGGGAUUAGCUAGUAGGUGAGGUAAUGGCUCACCUAGGAGACGAUCCCUAGCUGGUCUGAGAGGCUGACCAGCCACACGGGAAAUCGGACACGGCCCAGACUCCUACGGGAGGCAGCCGUGGGGCAUAUUGCCCAAUGGGCGCAAGCCUGAUGCAGCCAUGCCGCGUGAAUGAAGAAGGCGUUCGGGUUGUAAAGUACUUUCCUCGGGGAGGCGUUACCCGCAGAAUAAGCACCGGCGAACUCCGUGCCAGCAGCCGCGGUAAUUC
rnacentral:rRNA from 1 species